UUAUAGGUUCACAUUUCGGAAACAACUUAUCCACUAAUGGAGUAGAGGCUUUGUACUUGUAAACCCUCCCUAUAUCAAAAAAGAGUGUUUUCGGCUGCAUAGAUAGGAUGGAACGUGAAAGCAACUGUAGAACAAGUUGGAUGGACUUGAUCGCUUGAGAAAAUAUGAUGUGAUAAACCGUUCUAGUUGCAUCAAAUAAUUGGGGUAUAACAUGUUUUGUAAAGAUUGAAGUUAGAGAAAUAAUUGUAUAACUUUCCAGAAGUUCUCAGAAGUUGACAAAACUAAGCAAUUAUUUGUGGAAAAUGAAUUAAAUUAAGAGCACACUAGAUCUUGUUGAACGUUCUAAGGUGAUCCUCAACAUAGGGCUUCUUUGUAAGUUAUGGUGAGAUUUCGAAAGUAAUAAAUUCUUCUAGCUUUACAAUACCA